GAGAGAGAGAGAGAGAGAGAGAGAGAGAGCGUAAUGGAGUUAAAUCUCUCGCGAUGCAGCGCGAGAGAGGUCCCUUUUUGCAGAAAGUCAUAAAUCCCGAUACGAUAUUUCGCGAUGAGUUGAAAGUUUCAGUCAUGCACGGCCCAAGCACAAAACUCGGCAACGGAAAACCAUGGAAGAGAUUCUUCUAGAAAUAUAUUUCUCGAAAUAUAUUCCUUCCUCGCGCUGACGUUGGCUACAGGUGAUUGCCUCCGUAGCGUCGUAUUAUUUAUCGACAUCGAAACUUUUGAGAGACUGUUUUUUAAUCCGUCGUAAUGUUUGCACGUUAGACAAACGGCGAUGCCCAUUUGUUGCGAGUUAUCGCCGACGCCACGCGCCGUUACGAGUUGCUCCGUGUAGUAAUCGCCGUGUGAAUCGAAGGCGAACAUAUUUCGAUAUAUCUUAUCGAUACGCUGAUAGCCGCGCUGUUCAAUGGAAGAGUGUAUUAUUGAAACCGCGAUGUGAUGCAACGCGUUGCCGCGGGCUGUCACGAGUAACACGGAAAACGCGCCAUUUGUUGCUGAAAUGUUUAUUGCCCCUUAUUAAGCGACGAUUAUCGCGGCGCGAUUGUAGGAGCCGGCCCUUGUAAAAAUUCGUUGACCGUUCCCCCGACUAGAAUAUUUUUCUGCACACAAGAUAUUUUUUUACCGGGAGAAUGUGAGAGCUCUACGGAUUAACGCCAUAACGCGAGUGCUGAUUAAUCGAGUUAAUGUUGCGUGAUCCGCCAUUUUACAAAUAUAGUUAUUUUGGACGUUGUUCGAGCCACGCAUAUAUAUUCGUCGUUUCUCGUUUUUUAAUCUCGACCACGCACAAUAAACAUCAAACCGCGCACCCGUUAGAGAUAACUUUGUCUUACACGGAGAAAGAGAACGGGACGCCGACGCGACUCUAAUCGAUAUCAAAACAAGUUGUACCUCGCCGGUAUCCAAAUUGGAACGAAUUAAUGCUGAUGUUAAAUAAUAAUGCAAUUCCUGUAGUUACGGAAAGUGCGAAGUUAUCUCCGCUGGAGCACAAUCCAAUAUUAUUUCGCUCUAGUUUGGGGUUGGGGGGAGGGGGAGGGGAUGUAGACUCGUGCAAGACUUCGCGAUUCGUCGAGAAGCCUACAUGCAACUUGCAAUCGGGAUCUAAAUGUCACUCGAGAAAAUGCGGCGCUCCGCAUUUUCUUCGCCGUGUUUUAGCGCUGAAUGCGGCUUCUAAGCCUUUCAUUUGUUUCGCUACUGUAAAACUUCGCGUUCAAAAUUCAGACGAACGAGGCAGAGACGCUUUAACUGUGAGAUGAGAAUUUGUAAAUGCAAUAUUACAACACGGAUCUCAAAAGGGAGAUUUUUUUUCCGAACUAUCAAAAAGUGAAAUAUUCGCAGGCGAGUCUCAAGCCACGAAACUUCUCGGCGAACUCUCGUUUUCUCAAGCUUAGUUAGUAAAACGUUUAACGGAAAUUAACAAGCGAAUAAGUGAGUAAAUGAUAAUGAACAAAAUUAACAAGUUCGCGAACUUGGGAUCCGUCGGUAAAUCUAAAAGUGCAUCUUUUACGCAGGAAGAAUCGAACGGCCGAGUGCGUUUAGCGCUAAAAGGCGUGCCGAGAACGCGGUCUGUUAUCUCGUAAUAACGCGAUCGAAUCGAUAACUGUUUUCCUCCGGCGACGUUACGAUCGCCGCGUAUACCUUCGUAGGAUUUAGGCCAGUCGUGUUGUAAAGAAAAAAAAAAAAAGCGCUGGUAGUAAGCCACGUAGUCGAGUGCUCCGCGCCAGGGAGCACCCGUUCGUAGGGAUCUCUUUAUUAAGUAAGGACUUUAAGGUAGCUAUUCGGUUUUUCUCUUCUUGUCGAUAGGUAUUAUAGGCGGGGUCCACCUCAGGGUCGACCGCAGUCACGCGUGUAGAUUAGCAAUAGUGAGUCGUAGCGUAGCGAUUAUUUCGACGCACCUAUUAUUAUAACCCUUCGCGCACGCGGAUAUGAGAGAGAGAGAGAGAGAGAGAGAGAGAGAGAGAGAGAGAGAGAAUGGGCCCUCUGGAUUCGAAGCGUGGCGGAAGUAUCGCGGAUACGUACCGUUCCCCGCAUACCCCUCUCGUUCGGUCGUGAGUCCCUCGCCAAAAGUGGUCUCCGAAGGACCAACGGAGAGAAAUAAGGGUCUCGUAUUUUUGUCUCGUUGAACGUUGGUCUUUUACCGAUACGCGGGCUGCUUCUUAAUGCUUCGUCAAAUAUUUCAGGGAUUUCCGAAAUCCAAACGCGAGGAUGAAAUAUUACCGUACGAACCGUUUUUAUCCUUUUUUAUUCGAUAAAUAACGUAUAUCUGAUGAGAUAUAAAUAUUUUAUUAAAUGUGAUACGGACACACACCUGCACACAUACAUGUUAAAAAAUCGCUUUACAACGGUUCGUACGGGAGAAUAAUCGAAAGUAUACAUUGUUAGAAGGACAAUUAUGAUAACACGAGAAUAGGAAAAAAAAAACAAAAUUGACCCUGCAAUAAUGGCACGUGUUAAGAAACACCUUGUAGUGUCAUCAUUAUUAAACGUUUGAGAAAAUUUAUUUUUCUACUGCAUACAUCGCGCGUCACCGUGUCGCACAACAGCGAGCGUCUUCGUUUUGCGGAACGGAAGAUUGUUGAACACUAGAACACCCGGAGGUGGACAGUCUGUUCACCGACGAUUUCAUUUAAGAUUUUAACGGCAUAUCUCGGGGGAGAUUGUAAAAAAAAAGACGUAUGCUAGUCUCUCAGUGCUAGGUAUAUAUUUUCUUUGUCGAUGCAUUCGAAGGCACAAAUUGAGCAUCAUCCGUUCGAAACUCCGUGUGCAGAAACGUUCGCUUUCAUCCUCGAUCUUGAGGAAGAGCCUUCUUUCUCCUCUUCUUUUUGCAUAUGACGGAUUUUGAGGGAACGUCAUGUGUGCGUUCUGCAACGUGUAUAUAGACAGACAUGCAGUGUGCGGCGCGUAUACCAAGCCGCGAAGUUGUUGCUAUUACCUAUACAUUAUUCAGCGCUCGCGACUCGGUUUCCGAUUUGAUUGCGUACCGCGAGUUUCUGGAGGAGACCGGCCGUUGCGUUCGAUCGGCCGGACAUUCCGACGUUAGGCAAACGCAGACAGGAAUCCUGCUACUAGGGGCGCCGUGCGAGGGGCGAGGGGUGGGCGGUCAAAGGCAGGACUGAAAUUUCGCUGACUUUGGGCAAGGGGAAGAUUUGUGAAGAAGGAGAACACAGAGGAAGGGAGUAAUCGGACAUUUUUCUCUCCGACAUUUAGAUCGAGGACUCGCGACAACGCACACGUAUUUUACGCACACACGAAAACAGAGGGUGGGCGAAGGUGGGAAGGAUUAAUAACGUAAGCAGCACACAACACAGCGAAGGAAGGACGCGUACACGUACACGUAUCGAUUAUGCUAUUCGCGCACAACAUUCAACACGAUCACACUUUAUGAGCGUUUGUAUAAAGAAAUCGCCGUUAGCGUAACUAUUACCUUCGCAGGGACAUUGUGUAAAGAACAUUUCGCAUGCACAUUUUCACACGCACCACUCAUACUCUCCCCGCGGCAUUAGUAUCUCUUUUGCGUCGCUGCGCUCUUCGCUAUUAUAUCAUCGGAUGAAAAUAAAUCGACGGGAUGGGCGAAGGAGGGGGGGGGGGGUUAUUGACCAAGUCUCGAAGAAACGGUACGCUUCCUCGAAGAAAAUAGAUUCACCUCGCGAGAGCUACGUCGCGAGAAGACGUUACUUUUCUUAUAUUGUAUAAUUUUGCAUAUCCAAAAAUAUCCAUCGGAUAUUCAAACGAGGUGAUAUAUCUGCGGAAGUUACUACCGAUAUAAAGAAGAAAUGUCGCUUUGGGCGGAGCAAGGCAAGAGAGAGAGAGAGAGAGAAAAGAAAAAGAAAGAAUUUGAGCAAAUCGCCGUGAGGAAGGUCACACCUCUUGGGAGUCGCACCACCUUGCACAUCUUCUCAUCCAUCCUGUAAGACUGAACGAUUCUUUAUAUGUACUCGCGUGACUUUUGAAAGAGACGUGACAGGGGUACACGAUUCUCGUUUCUUAAAAAAAAAAAAGAAAAAAAGGGAAAGAGAAAAAAAGAAAGGAGACGAGGGAAAAUUGUGCUUCGCGACGAUGCGCACGAGGCGAGCAGUUACACAGAGGAAUAUGCUACGCGUGAACGAGAAGGAGCGCUUGGACGAUAAAAAACGAUGAGAAUCUCUACAUUUUUUAAAUGCAGCACCACUUGAAUGUGUUUUUCGUCGCGUGGGGGAGAGCCGGCCCGAGAGUUUUGCCUUCGCGAGGAGAAUGAGUUUUUUUCUCUCGGAGGAACGUACGUUCAAAAGUUACUUGCGGAAAGUAAAACUCCUGAGGGUGAACGUUGCGCGAGAAAUGGACGGGAAAAAGGUGCGGAACGGAGAGUAGGGAUAUUAUAUCGAGGCGUAAUCGAUAAAAAAAGAUGAAAAAAAAAGAAGAAAAAAAGACAUAAUAACGAUUGAUUCUAACUCUAUCUCUAUAUUCUUCUACCAAUUAUAUUUUUCUAAUUAUAUUUGUACGUUGACUCGUAAGCUAAUCGACCAAGCGAUGUUUCGUGCUUGUGGUAGAACGAGGACGAGGAGAUAAAACGCGACAAAAUUUAAAAAAGAGAGAGAGAAAAAAGAAAGAAGAAAAUGGAGGAAAUAUAUGGGAAACGGAAGAGGAAGAUAGAGACACGUUGUCCAGUUAAAAGGGAGAGCGGGAUGAAAGCAGCGAGGUUCGCGUUGCACUUCGUGACAACUACAAUAAAUUGCGUCGCUCGUUUUCGCGUAGACGAUUCGGUCUAUCUUUUUUAUUCUCGACUGUCGGCCCUUUAGUCUUACCGCUGUGAUCCACGAGAAUACAUCCGCGGGAUUUUGAAUCGGCGUAAUUUCGGUGUAAGUUCGAACUCUCCGCGGACCCUUUUGCAGAAGUGGCGAAAGCAAUCCCCUCCCAACGCUCGUUGGCACGCUCAUUGGAAACGACGAGGUGUCUUCUUCCCCCUGGCAAUGAUAUUUAAAGAAUUUGAACUCAUCGAAAUUAUACCGAUUGCAAUUCUCGGGCACGUACCACUUCUCGGGUCGCGUUCCAGGAAGAAUUCAAUAUCGCUCUCGCAACGCGAUCACGAUAUUCCGUUCGCGGGCAGAGCUGAGUUGCUUUGACGUCGAAGAUACAAGGACGAUCGGCUGGCCUCUUUGCGAAAUCUAUCGUCUGCACAAAUGAAAGGAGUAAAGGGAAAGAAAAUUACCGUUCGAAUAAAAUGAAGCUAAUUGCGUUUUGUCAAUCGAGAUUCGCUCUGAAAUCUCGAAGGGAGAUGAGGGGCUUCAUCGAAAACUUACAAAGACGACGUCUUUCUUUUUUUUCCUAGCUUUGCACCGUUCGUUCAUUAGCUCGAAUAAGCGGAAUGAUAUAGUGUAAACGCGUUGCGUUUAAAAUUCUCCCUUUAGGCCAGUCGGGCCGUAAUGUAUUCCCUUUUUCGUUCGCUCAGCUCUGUGCGCGGAAAAAUGCGGAUGUAUUUAAGAAUCCAAGACUACGUAUGCACAAAACCGUAUCGUCAGAUCGAAUUUAUUAGACCAAUUUCACACACAACACACAUACGCUCGUAUGCCGCGCCUGGUCCCCGACGACUAUUGAAAAAGAGAGAGGAAGAGAAAAUGGUGUACGUCUGCUCGAUCUGACUCGGUACGGGUAUCAGCUCCACCGAAAUAUUAUUACAAUAUCGCGAUCUCCCUAAAAAAAA
rnacentral:lncRNA from 13 species